UAGGGAAUCUUCGGCAAUGGGGGGAACCCUGACCGAGCAACGCCGCGUGAGUGAAGAAGGUUUUCGGAUCGUAAAGCUCUGUUGUUAAGGAAGAACGAGUGUGAGAAUGGAAAGUUCAUACUGUGACGGUACUUAACCAGAAAGGGACGGCUAACUACGUGCCAGCAGCCGCGGUAAUACGUAGGUGGCAAGCGUUAUCCGGAAUUAUUGGGCGUAAAGCGCGCGUAGGCGGUUUUUUAAGUCUGAUGUGAAAGCCCACGGCUCAACCGUGGAGGGUCAUUGGAAACUGGAAAACUUGAGUGCAGAAGAGGAAAGUGGAAUUCCAUGUGUAGCGGUGAAAUGCGCAGAGAUAUGGAGGAACACCAGUGGCGAAGGCGACUUUCUGGUCUGUAACUGACGCUGAGGCUCGAAAGCGUGGGGAGCGAACAGG
rnacentral:rRNA from 1 species